rnacentral:rRNA from 1 species
UACGGGAGGCAGCAGUGGGGAAUUUUCCGCAAUGGGCGAAAGCCUGACGGAGCAAUACCGCGUGAGGGAGGAAGGCUCUAGGGUUGUAAACCUCUUUUCUCAGGGAAGAACAAAAUGACGGUACCUGAGGAAUCAGCAUCGGCUAACUCCGUGCCAGCAGCCGCGGUAAUACGGAGGAUGCAAGCGUUAUCCGGAAUUAUUGGGCGUAAAGCGUCCGCAGGUGGCAGUUCAAGUCUGCUGUUAAAGGUCGAGGCUCAACCCCGAACAGGCAGUGGAAACUGAACAGCUAGAGUGCGGUAGGGGCAGAGGGAAUUCCCAGUGUAGCGGUGAAAUGCGUAGAGAUUGGGAAGAACACCGGUGGCGAAAGCGCUCUGCUAGGCCGUAACUGACACUCAUGGACGAAAGCUAGGGGAGCGAAUGGGAUUAGAUACCCCAGUAGUCCUAGCCGUAAACGAUGGAUACUAGGCGUUGUGAGUAUCGACCCUCACAGUGUCGUAGCUAACGCGUUAAGUAUCCCGCCUGGGGAGUACGCGCGCAAGCGUGAAACUCAAAGGAAUUGACGGGGGCCCGCACAAGCGGUGGAGUAUGUGGUUUAAUUCGAUGCAACGCGAAGAACCUUAC